rnacentral:sRNA from 1 species
ACUCAACACUAUUAUAAUUAGAAAGGGUGAGUUUAGGUUGUAAAAGCAGGCCCUACUUGUAUAGGGAUCCUUGAUCAGUCUGUUAGCCCUAAACUUGUAUUUUGGAGUUU